UACGUAGGGUGCGAGCGUUAAUCGGAAUUACUGGCGUAAGGCGUGACGCAGGCGGUGAUGUAAGACAGAUGUGAAAUCCCGGCUCAACCUGGGAACUGCAUUUGUGACUGCAUCGCUGGAGUGCGGCAGAGGGGAUGGAAUUCCGCGUGUAGCAGUGAAAUGCGUAGAUAUGCGGAGGAACACCGAUGGCGAAGGCAAUCCCCUGG
rnacentral:rRNA from 1 species